rnacentral:rRNA from 1 species
GAAUUGACGGAAGGGCACCACCAGGAGUGGAGCCUGCGGCUUAAUUUGACUCAACACGGGAAAACUUACCCGGCCCGGACACCGGAAGGAUUGACAGAUUAAGAGCUCUUUCUUGAUUCGGUGGGUGGUGGUGCAUGGCCGUUCUUAGUUGGUGGAGCGAUUUGUCUGGUUAAUUCCGAUAACGAACGAGACUCUAGCCUACUAAAUAGGCGACCGAUCACUUGUGUCGGUCUUCCUUCUUAGAGGGACAAGCGGCGUUUAGCCGCACGAGACAGAGCAAUAACAGGUCUGUGAUGCCCUUAGAUGUCCGGGGCCGCACGCGCGCUACACUGAAGGAAUCAGCGUGUGUUUACCCCUGUCCGGCAGGACUGGGUAACCCGAUGAACCUCCUUCGUGAUAGGGAUAGGAGCUUGUAAUUGUUCUCCUUGAACGAGGAAUUCCCAGUAAGCGCGAGUCAUAAGCUCGUGUUGAUUACGUCCCUGCCCUUUGUACACACCGCCCGUCGCUACUACCGAUUGAAUGAUUUAGUGAGGUCUUCGGACUGGUGCUCGGAGCGGCUCUCGGGUCGCACCGCCGUACCGGAAAGAUGACCAAACUUGAUCAUUUAGAGGAAGUAAAAGUCGUAACAAGGUUUCC